rnacentral:rRNA from 1 species
ACCCGCUGAACUUAAGCAUACCAAUAAGCGGAGGAAAAGAAACCAACAGGGAUUGCCCUAGUAACGGCGAGUGAAGCGGCAACAGCUCAAAUUUGAAAUCUGGCGUCUUUGGCGUCCGAGUUGUAAUUUGCAGAGGGCGCUUUGGCAUUGGCAGCGGUCCAAGUUCCUUGGAACAGGACGUCACAGAGGGUGAGAAUCCCGUACGUGGUCGCUAGCCUUUACCGUGUAAAGCCCCUUCGACGAGUCGAGUUGUUUGGGAAUGCAGCUCUAAAUGGGAGGUAAAUUUCUUCUAAAGCUAAAUACUGGCCAGAGACCGAUAGCGCACAAGUAGAGUGAUCGAAAGAUGAAAAGCACUUUGGAAAGAGAGUUAAAAAGCACGUGAAAUUGUUGAAAGGGAAGCGCUUGCAGCCAGACUUGCCUGUAGUUGCUCAUCCGGGUUUUUACCCGGUGCACUCUUCUAUAGGCAGGCCAGCAUCAGUUUGGGCGGUUGGAUAAAGGUCUCUGUCAUGUACCUCUCUUCGGGGAGAACUUAUAGGGGAGACGACAUGCAACCAGCCCGGACUGAGGUCCGCGCAUCUGCUAGGAUGCUGGCGUAAUGGCUGU